CUCAUUUGUGAAUUUUAUUUCCUGAAAGAUGCAAACCCUGCUAAGCAAGAGGUGGGUAUACAAGCCAAGGCAGAUAAGCCGUCUUUAAUAAUCUUUAAGACAUCCAACGUUGAUUUUAUAUAACAGUUUGGACACUUGGGAAAAUGUAGACGGCUUUCAGCACACUAGUAUAACCCAAUUUGACCAGUUCUCAUUCAAAUAAACCAUGACACCUUUUGCACUGCAUCGUUGGGUUUAUCAUGAGCAAGCAAAUAAUGAGAGAGAUAGAAAUCCUGUAUCUCUCUCUGUCUGUCUGUGUGUCUCUCUCUCUCUGUCUCACCCCUCUCUCCGUCUCCAGGGAUGCAAAUCCGAGUUGGCACAUCUCCCGCCCUCACCGUAGCUGUUCACCUCCUCCUCUCUCCGCUGCUCCAUGCCUUUGAUCUGAGUCCAAUGCCCACACAACCCAUGGGGGUCAACCGCACUCAACCCUUUCACAGGCUGGCACACUCUUCCUCCUGUUGGCACCGCCAUGGCCUGGCUGCCAAAGCGCACAGUGAGUUUCACAAGAGACGAAGAUGACCUUCUGCUUCAUAAAGGAAAAGAAAGCGAGCUUUGGUCCAUUUCAAAAACAGCACAGGGGAGCUGAACAGACAGCAAAAUUGCGCUGCGUGCGGAUGGGGUUGGAUUAGGUUGGAUUCAUUUUGGACACCCCUGGGAUCCAAUCCACUAGCUCUCCACGAUCCCCUCAGGGGCCCAGCGUAUCAGGGGCGAUGAUCCUGUGUCAGAUGGCGAUGGAGGCUCAUGUGCACUGGGGUAUAGAGUCUCCUCUGAUGGGUCUAUUGGUUUUUUCCAGUGGUCUGUUAGCAAUGGGGAACCUCAUUUUUUAAGACUUUGAAUCAGAUUCAGGCGAAACAUACACUUCCAUGACGGAUGAUCAUCAUCAUCAACAACAAACACCGAUGCUAAAUCAGUAUCUUGGGAUAAACCGAAUGUUUGCGUGUUUGUAAGGGUGCAAAUAUUUUCCAACCAUGCGCUGUCUGCUUUUGAAUCAGUUCUCUCCAGACACGCUUUAUCAAAGUCAUGCCGUUUGCUAAAUGCUCAAAAGAUGAAGAAAUUGAAGGAGACCACUGGGGAGGAAUGUUUAUGGCAGCGAGGCGAGAAAUCAAAGGAAGGACACGGCACAUGGGAGAUCCGAGAGGUGGUGAGACGGGAUGGGAGGAAGGACGAUGGGUCGAUGAGGAGGAGAUAGAGAACGAAGGAAGGCCGAACGAUGAGAUGGAACAGAGGCCCAUGGGAAACAGGAAGGACAUCGGAGUGCAUGAUCGGCGGCGGAAACACUGUAAACAAACUCGCCGGGGCCACGGGGUCCUCCAGAAAUGCUCCCUGUUUACCCACGAAUCCCUCUAGUUGAAGGAACGAUUCAUCGUCAAAUGAAAGGCAGCAAAUAUUUACAGAACCCCGCUCAACCGAUGCUGUGGUGUUGUGUGAAAUCAUGAAAGGACCCUUUGAUUUCUAGUAUUCCCUUGGCCAUUGAUGAUAGGGAUUAAACAGACAGAUGGUUAGACAGGACUUGGGCUUUAUGACUCCUCAGUAAGGCGGUCAUGACCUUUGACACUUUCUCAGCAGGACCUGACCCAAACUCAAUGUGUGCUUCAAUAACGCGGCAGGAUGAAAAGACAGAUACAGCAUUCUGGGCUACUGGUGGACUUCCUGUCUGAAGACAAACACAGGCUGUGGAAAUUGCACAGGGGUUGCCUCUACGUGUCGGGUGCACAAUAAGUCUUUUGUGCACAGGGGUAAAAU